CCUGGUUGAAGUCAAUGAGUGCUCUUAGUGCACACAAGAAAAUGUAACCCAGUGAGGCUUCCACCUGCCCAGCCCUCAAGGAAAUGUCAGCAGCCACUGAUGGGAAGAGGCCUCCUAACUCAGAGUGAGCCCUGUUUCCCUUUGCAGUGCCUGUUCCAGUGGAAAAUGUGUAUUUUUAAUUAUCUGCUGUCCUUAAUUGAAGAGAUGUGUCCCUGCACUGUAUCAAUGUACUCCUGCUUGUUCCUUGCUUUCUUUUUUCAACCAGGAACCUCGUUGCUGUCUGUGAGCCUUUUGUAACCAAUUCCAAAGCACCUUCAAAGCACACUCAAAUCUUGUCAGC